rnacentral:rRNA from 1 species
UACGGAGGGUGCAAGCGUUAUCCGGAUUCACUGGGUUUAAAGGGUGCGUAGGUGGGUCUGUAAGUCAGUGGUGAAAUCCCCGAGCUUAACUUGGGAACUGCCAUUGAUACUAUAGCCCUUGAAUACUGUGGAGGUCAGCGGAAUAUGUCAUGUAGCGGUGAAAUGCUUAGAUAUGACAUAGAACACCAAUUGCGAAGGCAGCUUACUACCCGAAUAUUGACACUGAGGCACGAAAGCGUGGGGAUCAAACAGG